AGAGUUUGAUCCUGGCUCAGGACGAACGCUGGCGGCGUGCCUAACACAUGCAAGUCGAACGAAGCUUGACGAAUGAUUUCUUCGGAAUGAAAUCUGAUAUGACUGAGUGGCGGACGGGUGAGUAACGCGUGAGCAACCUGCCCUUCGGAACGGGAUAGUGUCUGGAAACGGACAGUAAUACCGUAUAACGUAUUUUUACCGCAUGAUAGAAAUACCAAAACUGAGGUGCCGAAGGAUGGGCUCGCGUCUGAUUAGAUAGUUGGUGGGGUAACGGCCUACCAAGUCGACGAUCAGUAGCCGGACUGAGAGGUUGAACGGCCACAUUGGGACUGAGACACGGCCCAGACUCCUACGGGAGGCAGCAGUGGGGAAUAUUGCACAAUGGGGGAAACCCUGAUGCAGCAACGCCGCGUGAAGGAAGACGGUUUUCGGAUUGUAAACUUCUGUUCUUAGUGAAGAAUAAUGACGGUAGCUAAGGAGCAAGCCACGGCUAACUACGUGCCAGCAGCCGCGGUAAUACGUAGGUGGCAAGCGUUGUCCGGAAUUACUGGGUGUAAAGGGAGCGUAGGCGGGAUGCCAAGUCAGCUGUGAAAACUAUGGGCUUAACCCGUAGACUGCAGUUGAAACUGGUAUUCUUGAGUGAAGUAGAGGUUGGCGGAAUUCCGAGUGUAGCGGUGAAAUGCGUAGAUAUUCGGAGGAACACCGGUGGCGAAGGCGGCCAACUGGGCUUUAACUGACGCUGAGGCUCGAAAGUGUGGGGAGCAAACAGGAUUAGAUACCCUGGUAGUCCACACUGUAAACGAUGAUUACUAGGUGUUGGAGGAUUGACCCCUUCAGUGCCGCAGUUAACACAAUAAGUAAUCCACCUGGGGAGUACGACCGCAAGGUUGAAACUCAAAGGAAAUUGACGGGGGCCCGCACAAGCAGUGGAGUAUGUGGUUUAAUUCGACGCAACGCGAAGAACCUUACCAAGUCUUGACAUCCUGCGACGCACAUAGAAAUAUGUGUUUCCUUCGGGACGCAGAGACAGGUGGUGCAUGGUUGUCGUCAGCUCGUGUCGUGAGAUGUUGGGUUAAGUCCCGCAACGAGCGCAACCCUUAUGGUCAGUUACUACGCAAGAGGACUCUGGCCAGACUGCCGUUGACAAAACGGAGGAAGGUGGGGAUGACGUCAAAUCAUCAUGCCCUUUAUGACUUGGGCUACACACGUACUACAAUGGCGUUAAACAAAGAGAAGCAAGACCGCGAGGUGGAGCAAAACUCAGAAACAACGUCCCAGUUCGGACUGCAGGCUGCAACUCGCCUGCACGAAGUCGGAAUUGCUAGUAAUCGCAGAUCAGCAUGCUGCGGUGAAUACGUUCCCGGGCCUUGUACUCACCGCCCGUCA
rnacentral:rRNA from 1 species